GGAGUGGGUUUUUAAAAAGUUGAAAGAAAAUAGGAUGGUGAAGAUCGAGGCACCAUACAGUGGACAUAACGAGAGAGUGGAUAGAAGAAAGUUGAGCAGGUGGGACGAUGAAGAUCUCAAUGUGAAGAAGAGUUGAUAUGCUAGAGAGCACUUUUUGUAUUUUAGAACAUUUUUAUUUUUAUUUUUAUUUUUAUUUUUUUUGGACCUGUGAAUUUUAAAUUUUUGAACAUUUUUUGGGUAGCAUAUACUGAGGGAUGC
rnacentral:lncRNA from 1 species